rnacentral:rRNA from 1 species
GCGGAGGGAUCAUUAAAGAGUUCUAUAACUCCCAAACCCAUGUGAACAUACCAUACGUUGCCUCGGCAGGUCGCGCCUACCCCGUAGCGUCCUACCCUAUAGGACCUACCCGGUAGACGCGGGUAAGCCUGCCGGCGGCCCAAGAAACUCUGUUUAGUAUUGAAUUCUGAACCUAUAACUAAAUAAGUUAAAACUUUCAACAACGGAUCUCUUGGUUCUGGCAUCGAUGAAGAACGCAGCGAAAUGCGAUAAGUAAUGUGAAUUGCAGAAUUCAGUGAAUCAUCGAAUCUUUGAACGCACAUUGCGCCCAUUAGUAUUCUAGUGGGCAUGCCUGUUCGAGCGUCAUUUCAACCCUUAAGCCCUCGUUGCUUAGUGUUGGGAGCCUACGGUACCCGUAGCUCCUCAAAGUUAGUGGCGGAGUCGGUUCACACUCUAGACGUAGUAAUUUUAUCUCGCCUAUCAGUUGGAGCGGUCCCCUGCCGUAAAACACCCCCAAUUUCUAAAGGUUGACCUCGGAUCAG